rnacentral:rRNA from 1 species
GGGCCUCUGGGGAGCAGCGCGGAAUUGGCUUCGCUUGCCUCGAAGGAUUGACUCUCGCGACCGAUUAGGCUUGCAGGUGGGGUAAGAGCCUACCUAGGGCAACGAUCGGUAGCUGGUCUGAGAGGAUGACCAGCCACACUGGGACUGAGACACGGCCCACACUCCUACGGGAGGCAGCAGUGGGGAAUUUUCCGCAAUGGGCGAAAGCCUGACGGAGCCUACCGCGUGAGGGAGGAAGGCUCUUGGGUUGUAAACCUCUUUUCUCAGGGAAGAACACAAUGACGGUACCUGAGGAAUCAGCAUCGGCUAACUCCCUGCCCCCAGCCGCGGUAAUACGGAGGAUGCAAGCGUUAUCCGGAAUGAUUGGGCGUAAAGCGUCCGCAGGUGGCUGUGUAAGUCUGCUGUCAAAGAGCAAAGCUCAACUUUGUAAAGGCAGUGGAAACUACACGGCUAGAGUGCGUUCGGGGCAGAGGGAAUUCCUGGUGUAGCGGUGAAAUGCGUACAGAUCAGGAAGAACACCGGUGGCGAAGGCGCUCUGCUAGGCCGCAACUGACACUGAGGGACGAAAGCUAGGGGAGCGAAUGGGAUUAGAUACCCCAGUAGUCCUAGCUGUAAACGAUGGAUACUAGGCGUGGCUUGUAUCGACCCGAGCCGUGCCGUAGCUAACGCGUUAAGUAUCCCGCCCGGGGGAGUACGCACGCAUGUGUGAACACUCAAGGAAUUGACGGGGGCCCGCACAAGCGGUGGAGUAUGUGGUUUAAUUCGAUGCAACGCGAACAACCUUACCAAGGCUUGACAUGUCGCGAACUUUUCUGAAGGAAGAGGUGCCUUCGGGAGCGCGACACAGGUGUGCAUGGCCUGUCGUCAGCUCGUGUCGGUGAGAUGUUUGGGUUACGUCCCGCAACGAGCGCAUCCCUCGUUUUUAGUUGGCAGCAUAAGUUGGGCACUCUAGAGAGACUGCCGGUGACCAACCGGAGGAUGUGGGGAUGACGUCAGUCAGCAUGCCCCUUACGCCUUGGGCUACACACGUACUACAAUGCUACGGACAGAGGGCAGCAAGCAAGCGAUAGCAAGCUAAUCCCAUAAACCGUGGCUCAGUUCAGAUCGAAGGCUGCAACUCGCCUUCGUGAUGGCGGAAUCGCUGGUAAUUGCAGGUCAGCAUAGUGCAGUGAAUUCGUUCCCGGGCCUUGUAC